rnacentral:rRNA from 1 species
AUUGAACGCUGGCGGCAGGCCUAACACAUGCAAGUCGAGCGGAUGAAGGGAGCUUGCUCCUGGAUUCAGCGGCGGACGGGUGAGUAAUGCCUAGGAAUCUGCCUGGUAGUGGGGGAUAACGUCCGGAAACGGGCGCUAAUACCGCAUACGUCCUGAGGGAGAAAGUGGGGGAUCUUCGGACCUCACGCUAUCGGAUGAGCCUAGGUCGGAUUAGCUAGUUGGUGGGGUAAAGGCCUACCAAGGCGACGUUCCGUAACUGGUCUGAGAGGAUGAUCAGUCACACUGGAACUGAGACACGGUCCAGACUCCUACGGGAGGCAGCAGUGGGGAAUAUUGGACAAUGGGCGAAAGCCUGAUCCAGCCAUGCCGCGUGUGUGAAGAAGGUCUUCGGAUUGUAAAGCACUUUAAGUUGGGAGGAAGGGCAGUAAGUUAAUACCUUGCUGUUUUGACGUUACCAACAGAAUAAGCACCGGCUAACUUCGUG